GACGAACGCUGGCGGCGUGCUUAACACAUGCAAGUCGAACGGUAAGGCCCUUCGGGGUACACGAGUGGCGAACGGGUGAGUAACACGUGGGUGAUCUGCCCUGCACUUCGGGAUAAGCCUGGGAAACUGGGUCUAAUACCGGAUAGGACCCUGGGAUGCAUGUCCUGGGGUGGAAAGCUUUUGCGGUGUGGGAUGGGCCCGCGGCCUAUCAGCUUGUUGGUGGGGUGAUGGCCUACCAAGGCGACGACGGGUAGCCGGCCUGAGAGGGUGACCUGCCACACUGGGACUGAGAUACGGCCCAGACUACUACGGGAGGCAGCAGUGGGGAAUAUUGCACAAUGGGCGCGAGCCUGAUGCAGCGACGCCGCGUGAGGGAUGACGGCCUUCGGGUUGUAAACCUCUUUCAGCACCGACGAAGCGCAAGUGACGGUAGGUGCAGAAGAAGGACCGGCCAACUACGUGCCAGCCGCCGCCGUAA
rnacentral:rRNA from 1 species